AGGCUCUUCAGUUCAUGAGCAUGAUGAUUGGGUGCUCAUGCUGUAUGCACAAGAUGUGCCUCCUGCAAGCCUUGUUAUGAUGUGGGGGCAUUACCCAUCUGACU
rfam:Cavia porcellus supercont2_3 genomic scaffold, whole genome shotgun sequence.